GAUGAACGCUGGCGGCGUGCCUAAUACAUGCAAGUCGAGCGAAAAGACGAGGAGCUUGCUCCUCUGACGUUAGCGGCGGACGGGUGAGUAACACGUGGAUAACCUACCUAUAAGACUGGGAUCACUUCGGGAAACCGGAGCUAAUACGGGAUAAUAUAUUGAACCGCAUGGUUCAAUGGAGAAAGACGGUGUUGCGGUAACGUAUAGAUGGAUACGCGCCGCAUUAGCUAGUUGGUAAGGUAACGGCUUACCAAGGCAACGAUGCGUAGCCGACCGGUGGGGGUGUUGGGCCCCUCAGGAAGUGACACGCCGUCCAGGCUCCGACGGGCGGCAGCGGUAGCGAAUCUUCCGAAAAGGGCGGAAGCCUGACGGAGCAACGCAGGGUGGGUGAUGAAGGGCCUCGGGUCGGAAAACGCUGUUAUUGGGGAAGAACGAAUGUGCAAGUAACUAAGCACGUCUGAAGGGUACCGGAACAGAAAGCCCCGCCUACCUCCUU
rnacentral:rRNA from 1 species